rnacentral:rRNA from 1 species
UGAGUAACACGUAUCCAACCUGCCGUCUACUCUUGGACAGCCUUCUGAAAGGAAGAUUAAUACAAGAUGGCAUCAUGAGUCCGCAUGUUCACAUGAUUAAAGGUAUUCCGGUAGACGAUGGGGAUGCGUUCCAUUAGAUAGCAGGCGGGGUAACGGCCCACCUAGUCUUCGAUGGAUAGGGGUUCUGAGAGGAAGGUCCCCCACAUUGGGACUGAGACACGGCCCAA